rnacentral:lncRNA from 1 species
AAUUGCACUGCAACACUUCAACACUUUCUCGUACAAAAUGAAGCUGAUAUCGCUGUUGAUAGCUCUGGUUGUGGCCCUGUCUGGCCUCCUGGGUUCAGCUCGUGCCAUGCCUGACCCCUACCCUGUGGCUGACCCCGUGGCUGACCCCGACCCCGUAGCUGACCCCUUGUUCUUCAAACGCAAGCACUACUACCCCCGGCGUCGCUACUAUCCCCGCUACCACCAUUACCACCACUGGUGAAGAACAGGAAACGUUUAUUCCGAUAAUGAACAGCAAUUGUCUUUGUCGCAAGGGACUCGAGUGGUGAUGAAUUCCGUGUAUUGUUAAUCUAACCGUACAAUAAAAUCCUGAUAAAAAAUCAA